CCGUCAAUUCAUUUAAGUUUCGAUCUUGCGACCGUACUCCCCAGGCGAAGUGUUUCACGUAUUAGCUAGGCCCCUGAUCCGCGUAGACUAAGGGCAAACACUCAUCAUUUUCGGCAUGGACUACCAGGGUAUCUAAUCCUGUUCGCUCCCUAUGCUUUCACACCUCAGCGUCGGUAGGGACCUAUAGAGCUGCCUUCGCUUUUGGUGUUCCUUCGUAGAUCUCCGAAUUUCACCCCUACACACGAAAUUCCACUCUCCUCUGUCUCACUCAAGUGAAUUGGUUUCAAGAGCAUUCCGCCAGUUUUUGGCGGCUUUCACUUUCAACCCGAUUCACCACCUACGUGCCCUUUACGCCCAGUCAUUUUGAAGAACACUUGCCUCCCGUCUUACCGCGGCGGCU
rnacentral:misc_RNA from 1 species